rnacentral:rRNA from 1 species
UACAGAGGGUGCAAGCGUUAAUCGGAAUUACUGGGCGUAAAGCGUGCGUAGACGGUUAUUUAAGUCAGGUGUGAAAGCCCCGGGCUCAACCUGGGAAUUGCAUUUGAGACUGGAUAGCUAGGGUGCGGAAGAGGGAAGCGGAAUUUCCGGUGUAGCGGUGAAAUGCGUAGAUAUCGGAAGGAACACCAGUGGCGAAAGCGGCUUCCUGGUCCAGCACCGACGUUCAGGCACGAAAGCGUGGGGAGCAAACAGG